GUCCAGACUCCUACGGGAGGCAGCAGUGAGGAAUAUUGGUCAAUGGGCGGGAGCCUGAACCAGCCAAGUCGCGUGAGGGAUGACGGUCCUACGGAUUGUAAACCUCUUUUGCCGGGGAGCAAGCGUGCGUUCGUGAACGCGCGUCGAGAGUACCCGGAGAAAAAGCAUCGGCUAACUCCGUGCCAGCAGCCGCGGUAAUACGGAGGAUCCGAGCGUUAUCCGGAUUUAUUGGGUUUAAAGGGAGCGUAGAUGGGUUGUUAAGUCAGUUGUGAAAGUUUGCGGCUCAACCGUAAAAUUGCAAUUGAUACUGGCAGUCUUGAGUACAGUUGAGGUAGGCGGAAUUCGUGGUGUAGCGGUGAAAUGCUUAGAUAUCACGAAGAACUCCGAUUGCGAAGGCAGCUUACUAAACUGCCACUGACAUUGAUGCUCGAAAGUGUGGGUAUCAAACAGGAUUAGAUACCCUAGUAAC
rnacentral:rRNA from 1 species